CCAGACGGUCGGAUGGCUGCGGUCCUACGGGAUCGAGGAAAGUCCGGGCUCCACGGAAACACGGUGCCGGUUAACGGCCGGCGGGGGUGACCCCAGGGAAAGUGCCACAGAAAGCAAACCGCCUUUCAGCGUUUCGGCGUCGAUGGGUAAGGGUGAAAGGGUGCGGUAAGAGCGCACCGCGUCCCCGGCGACGGGGGCGGCACGGUAAACCCCACCGGGAGCAAGACCGAGUAGGGACGGCCAGCGACUUCGGGUCGCGGGCGUGUUUUCGCGCCGUCGUCCGGGUGUGUCGCAUGAGGCGUUCAGUAACGGGCGUCCCAGAUGAAUAGCCAUCUAUCGCAAGCACGCUUGCGUGGACAGAACCCGGCUUACAGACCGUCUGGCUUU
rnacentral:RNase_P_RNA from 1 species